rnacentral:tRNA from 1 species
GGCCCCAUCGUCUAGCCUGGUUUAGGACGUCAGGUUCUCAUCCUGAAAAUCGAGGGUUCGAAUCCCUCUGGGGUCA